UCUUAACAACAUAAUUUUAUUAAAUGCAGUAAAAGCUUUUUCGCCAUUAAAGAUUAGACUUGGGGGCACCCUGCAAGAUAAUGUCAUAUAUCAAACUCAGAGUAAUCAAUGCUGCCAUUCAUUUGUUAAGAAUUCCCCAGAGUUGUUUGGCUUCACUCAAUGGUGCCUUCCUUCGUCUUGAUGGGAUGAAUUAAACUCCUUUUUCAAGAAAUCUGGGUACAUAAGAAGCACUGCCUUGGUUAGUUAGACUGAGAAUAAGGUCCGAUGGUUCAAUAGUUGGAGCUUGGGAUUCCUCAAAUGGUGAAGCUUUUAUUCAUUACAUUGUUGAAAAGGGCUACAACAUAUAUGGCUGGGAACUUGGGAAUGAACUUUCCGGCGGUGAAGUUGGGACAAGAGUUGCACCUGAUCAGUAUGCUUCUAAUACAAUCGUACUACACAACAAAGUACUAGAAAUCUACAAGGAUGUA